rnacentral:lncRNA from 1 species
ACCCACCGGCGGGUCGGUGCUGUGUUCACCUGCGGGCACUGUGGUGAUACAAGUGAAUAAAGCUAGGCAAUACACGCACGCGAAUUAAGCUGCUUCUUUACACUGCAGCUGUCUCCUCCUUAAGGUUACCUUCUUCUAGCAACGCUUAUUGGAGCUCCUUGUGUGGUGACCCAGGAAAACUGCUGUGCUCACCCCCACAGCCCAUCAUCCUCAGUGGUUACUAUCAUACCCCAGAAACAAAAGGAAAGCAUUCUUCCAAUCUGGGACGGAACCACAACUUACUGUUUUUAGGUAUUCUCUCCAAGCACUUUUUGCUAUCAUCUUACACAGUAAGAAAAAGAAAUCCUACUCUGCUAAGCUUGUUCCAGGAAUGAGGUGGUAAGCAAUGCCAGAGGCCAAUGGCCGUGUCAGGUUAUAACAAUUGUUUGUUCCGUUCCACUCACAAAACCUACGGCCGUGUUCUACAAGAAGGCUCCUCCCCUGGCUGACCUUUGUGAAGGACAGGACAUCCGAGCCUCUGUUCUUUGUUUGCUCUUUGUACCCUCAAUUCUGAUUCUGAUGGAACUCCAACCUAUGUCUUAUGCUUAAUAUAAUAUAUGGCCUUAUACUUAAUACACUUAAGUAAGCGUUGGAAAAAAUUGUUUCAAGGCUGACAGACGCUGAGUUCUGUUGAUGUAGGAGUCUGGGAUUUGUAGAAGAGAACAACUGAAAAACUAAACUAGGCAACGCAUGCAACAGAGCAGGGCGUAACUGUGCCACCUGCCUUCCUCUCUUUUUACAGGAUAUACCACCAAUGUUUGCAUUAUGAAUUUCAUUUUCAUAAAUAAAUAUUUAACUAUACAACGGAAAAUAUUAUGCUUAGCUAAUUACCUAAUGAUUUUCUAAAAUGCUGUGCCUUUUUAUGCAUUUUAAUGUUCCGAUACACAUAGUUUAAAUAAUUUUAGUCAGCCCUCCACAAACAAAUUGCUAAUUGAAAUAUUCAGCAAGGAUUCAAGCUGUCUGCUUCAUUUACACUUAUUAGACAUAAUACAAUUCAAAUUCCAGCAUCUAAGACACUAAUAAGCUAAGCUACAUUACAGCUUAACUACUUAUUUUGAUGUAGGAGUACUCAUCCUCUGGUGGCUCGAAGGAGAUUUCGCAGGGCGUUUUUCCCCCUCGUCUCUCUGUUCUGUUUAAAUAUUCAGUGAGGAACGGGAAUCUCUGAUUUCCCAAGGGGAAGUUCUUUGCUUUAAGUGCCCCCCCAUAACAACAGCAAUCUUUUUUCAAACACUGAUGCGUUCUUUUAAAACCUCC